rnacentral:lncRNA from 1 species
CUCCUGCCAGUAGGAUUGAUAUACAGCCCAUGUAUCAGAAAAACCAACGGAACCAGAAUUGUUGUUAACAGGUUUAGUGCGACAUAAGUUACAUAGAAAAAGCUCAUCGUUGAAAAAAUUAAAAUUUCUUGAUGGAUUCAAACAACUCAAAGAACAUUGUUUUAUAAAGGGAAUAUGUACUUGCAUAAACCUCAAGGAAGGGAGGUGUCCCAAAGAUGUCGGAAUUGUCCCUGUGAGAUUAUUCUGGUAAAGGUCCAAGCUGACGAGUUUUGUCAAGUUACCGAUUUCCUUUGGUAUAGAUCCAAAGAGGUUAUUGCCAAAUACCUCCCUGCAGCGCAAACAGACAUAUUUACCUAGUUAUUUCAUUCUACUCAAACUACUCUAACUUGUAGUUCGAGAGAUGGGAAAGAUGAUCUUACAAGUACUGAAGGUUGGCCAAGAUUCCCAGCUCAGGGACAAUAAGUCCUGACAGGUUAGCAUCGCCAAGGUCCCUUCAUAUAUAUACAUACGCAGAAAGAUAAGUCCAAUUUAAAUACUAAACUUCCCGGAGUAAUUAGUGGAAGGAAUUUGCGGCAAUAGAUUGUAAGGAGUUGAGUCAAUGUUAAUAAAAAGACCACUUACACCCUUGUAACACUGUUUUCAGAAUUGCAAGUAACGUGGAACCAGGUGCAUGGAUUUCGUAACGUUGGAUCCCAGCUCUGGAGGACAUUGUUUGGGUCGACCAAGCUGGAUUUCCAGACACUCAGAGCAUCUCCUGUUCAUGAAGUAAAGCACUGAAAAGAAUUAAGCCUUGGCCAACAUAAAUUUGCUUGAAUUUGCCUGAAUAUAGCAAGUCAAUAUCAUACCUUCCGAGUAGCAUUCCACUGAUGCAAUAGCUACUGCUGCAAGAUAAAAAACAAGCAAAACUCGAGAACCCAUCACGCACAAAUCAGUAGAGUCUAAACGAUAAGGUUAGAGUAGAGCUCGAAUCAUUGUAUUUUUUGCAGAGGAACUGAGAUUUUAUAGAGAAGAUAAACCAGCAUUGACAGUGAUUUUGAUAUAGAUGGAGGAAAAGUUUAGGAAGAUGAGUUGUUGGGAUUAUUAAAUUCGUGACUAGAAGAAUACUUCAAUAGUGAAGGUUGACGAGAGGAAAAACUCAUAAUCAUCUGUAAGUUUAGGAGAAAGACUUACAUUAAACAGAGAUAUCAAGUUGGUCAUGUCCCAAAUCUGUUACACUUCGUCUUGUGCUUCAACACUUUUCCACAUGGCGAUGAGUGAUAGGUCUGAGACACCUAACAUUUUGAACCCAUCAUGCAUUGUCAUUUGUUUCAACUUUCUCUCUUGACAACACGAGUUUAAGACAUUACGCCUUGACAUCUUUACUUCAUGUCCUAUACUGAGUUUAUAUCCGAAAUAAUUUACGCGAGUUUUUGACUUGUGACUCGAAGCCGCAACUCCAAUUCUAGAUAUAAGACCAUAAACAGUAAAAGAAUCAGAGAAAUUGUGACUAAAAAUUGUGAAGAUAUGGUCUCCGAGGGGUGUUUACCAGUACAACGUAAGUUUCUUUUGUCUUAGCAUGACAACUUGGACUGUCUUCUCUUCCAAUUCAUCCAGAAUGUUGACUAUGUAGAAGGUAUUGUUUGUUUACCUGUAUAGCAAACGAGGCACUAGAAUUCAAAUUGAGAUUAGUCAAUAAAUCCUUCACCUAACCAUAACGUAAGCGUUUUUUAACUCUUGUAUCAAGUGUAGUUAAAAGCGUUUUUUGGUUCUCAAAAAACACUUUUAGUUAUUCUAGAACCUAUCCUAAACAGGUGUAGACACUACUUAAAUGAUCUGUAAUUUUUUUUAUUUGACAACAGACGAAGGAAUUGGUCCGGUCCGUGAUAUUUUGAGCAGUACUCAAUUUCAUGUCAGAAAUAGAAAUAGAAAUAGAGAGAAAGAUGGACGCAUAUGCAUUAUCAUGGCCAUACAAGUUUCCAGGCUCGGGGACAGUAAUUCCCGAUCCAUAGUCCAGCUUGCCAAGGUCCCUUCAUAUAUAAAUCAUACGUUAAGAUCAUAAGACAUGCAUGUGAUGACUCUGUGAGUACUGCAAUUUAAUUCAGUUUUCCCUCAGAGUUCAACGAUUAUGCUGGCUGUUCGUUUUAGAUCAUGGGGUCAAGUUUUCGGAAACCAACACAACAUAUAGGUUAUAUAUAUACAUCGGUUUCCGAAUACAAAUUAGCUUAUAUAUAAUAUAGGUUAGUGUUUCAAUGAAAAUAUAAAUAUGGGUUAGUAUAGGUUAUAGAAUACUUCUUUUCUAUUUAGUAGAUAUACUAGAAAUUGGUACCCCGUGCGUUGCUGCGGGAUUAGAAAUUGUAAAAAAAAUAUCAUAGACGAUUACUAUUAUUUACAUUAAAAAUGUUUGAAGAUUUUAACAAACAAAAGAUUUAAUCUAUACAAUCCACACAUACACAAUCGUAGAACUUUUGUCUCUACAUACAAAAAAAAAAAAAAAAAUCAAAGUUGUUCACUGAAGCACCUAAAGUUUCUCUCCAGUCCUCUUGAUUGUGAAGAAAGCAACCUAGGCAAGGGAAAAUAUGAAAUACUAAAAUACAUGCAAUUAAUAUAUACAUCAACAGGUUUCUUUUUUUGGUGGAAAAGAAUCUGGUUUUAUACCAGUUAAAGAGGACUUUUUUUCAGUGAUUAAAUAGUCUCUUAUUUAGAUCAGUGCAUUUUUAUAUUGUAAAUUGUAAAUAUUGAGAUUUUAUGUUAUAACUAAAUAAUCAAUCUAAAAACCAAGUUAACACCCAUAGAUUUUAGGGAACUUUAACGAAAAGCUUCCGGUACUGUUCACUUUAACGAAAAAUCAUAUUUUUACAUUAAAAAGUCAAUCAUGAUUACUAUUCACUUUACCCUUUAUUUUGUCCUUAUCGUUAAAACUCAAAAUUUUCAAGUUUUUUUUAUUAGUUUUCCUUAGAUUUUAUGUUAUAGCUAAACAGUCAAAACUAAAUAACUUGGGUAAUCACUGAAAUUACAAAGCUUCAUAAACAAUAAAGAAGGGAGAGGGGUAUAGACCAUGAAAAAAUUUGGAAUCACUGAAAUUAAAACCCAAAUUCCAUAAAGUCUAAAUGUAAAUUCACAGAAAUCAUUCAAACCAACUCCACAUCAUUCACGAUAAUUAUUCAAUAAUCCAAGAAAUUGAAAUUGCCACCGUCUCCGAAACCAAACAAAUUGCUUCAUCAUUCACCAAUAUCCUCUGUGUUAUAAAUUCGAAUAAAAAACCAUUGAAUAAAAGUGCCUACUAACCAAAGCAUCCUUUGACCAAAUUAAGAAAUUCAAAUAAAAUUAAACACUAAAAUCUGCAAUAAUUUUUCAACAAAACAAAAAACACUUCUCUUUUAACACCUUCACCAACACUCUCAACAAUGUUGUAAAAAAAUGCAGUCUUUUCAUUCCUAGUUUGAAAUAAUUCCGAAUUGAAAGAAAGAAAAAAAAAUUAAGACUGAAAAGCAAUAAGAAAAUUUGAAAAGAAAAGACCCCAAAAAUAAAUCAUUUAGCUAUAAACAGUAUGCAGAAACGUGGAAAAAAAAUUAGAGAUGCACUAACACUACAAUUCAUGAUCAUUACCCAAAAUCUCCAAAGUAAACAUAUGCUCAAAUAUACACCUCUCUAUUUUUCAUCUCUCACCCUGUUAUUUGGUAUUGUGAUAAGGUUUAUGAUAAGCAAUGAUUUUACCAAAAUUUAAUACUAAAAUACAUCACAGUAGAAGUUUAACAUCAGAGGAGGAGUUGAUCUCUACCUUUGAUAUGUUGAUCCUGGAGUCAAUCUCUACCUUUGAUAUACCAUUUCCCUGCAUACUUGAUUCCUUUUAAGGCCACCUGUUGGGAAAAAAAUAAACACAAAACUUGGAACACUAUUUAAACAAAAAGAGAUUUCUCAAUCAGAGAAAGAUUCAAUUUCAUGUAAUUUAUUUUGUUAACAAUGCAAUAUUGGAACUUGCAUUUGGUUCAAAGAAGUAAGGUAAAUUGAUAACGCAAAAGGAAACUGAAAACAGAAUCUCUACCGAUUGGUUUAAAAGCAGCAAUCAGAAUGGCAAUGAAAAAUUCAUACUGAAAUCUCACCUUGUGAGAUUAUCCUGAUAUGUGUUCACUUUCUAUUUUUUAUCAGACCAAAAUUCUCAUUCUGUAGCUCUGAGUUUAAUUUUUAUUUCGACUCACUACAUAGAUCGGUUCAACCUCCUUCUGUUUUUCCUAGAAUUUUUUCACAGAAAUACAAACUGUGUAAGUGUUAAAAAACCUGUCAACGGCCAUACUACCAAUGAAUAAAAAAUAAUCACCAUUAAGAAAUUCAAUAACCAAGCACACCUCUUGUGCUUUCCCCAAUAUCACUAUUUCACAUUGCAAUUGGUAGUGAGAACACAUAAAGGGCAAAAAAGUUGAAGCAAAACCCUUAACAUCAUAUUGUAAUGGAUAAAAACAGUGGGGCAGAGCGUUGAUUAAAAAGAAAACAGUGAUGUUUCCCUUUUGGAUUUUCCACACCAUCCAGUUCAUCAAAGCAAAUAAAAAGAGUGAGGUAAAUCUUCGAAGCUUGCCUUAAACCAAGGAGAAAAGAGGAUGCCUGUUGAAAGUAAGAAUCCAAGUAAUAAUCAAACCAACAUAGUAAGUCAUGAACUGACCAUCUGUGUUUUCCAUUCGAAAAUGGGAAAGGCCGAUUUCACCACAGAGAGGAUCAAGAGAAAAAUUUGGCUUCAAAUUAAAGUCAAACAAAUCGACCAAUUUGUAUAAUAGUAGAACGAUCUAACAUGGGAAAGGCUGAUUUCACCACAGAGAGGAUCAAGAGAAAAAUUUGGCUUCAAAUUAAAGUCAAACAAAUUGACCAAUUUGUAUAAUAGUAGAACGAUCUAACAUAUAUGAAUUCAUCUAGAAUCCCGCCACCAAUCUAUAACUAAAAGAAAAAAUAACAGCAAUGUAAGACAAAAGGUACCUGCUUUGCUUUCUCCCCCUCUUUUCGGCGCCUCUCCUCUACCCUCUGCUUGUUCUUCAACUCCUUUUUGUGCACUGUAAACACCCCCACACAAAAUUCGACACAAUCAAAACAAAAAAAAUAAAUAAAGAAUUAACAGCUCUCGUAGCGGAAAUAAAAAACCCAUAUGGAUUAAAAACAAAAACCCAGAAGUGGGAAAUAGCCUGACAAAGCAUGACAUAUAUAUUUUUUAAAAAUUGAUAUUAACAGGGAAAACACAAAACUUGAUAAAUCUAAUGAACAAUUUCCUUCAACCCAAUAAAUAUUUUUCCUUAAAUAAUCCAGAAACUCCACUGUCCUGUUAUUAAUACUACACCUAUGCCUCAGUCCAAUACUAUUUUUUUUAUAUUUGCCAAAAAACCAAAACAAAAUCCCAGCUUGAUUCCCCCUAUUUUAUCCUAACUAUAGGUGGCUUCAAAUUAUAUUACUUCUAUGCACAAUAUAUAAUAACAUCAAAUUAUAAUAAUUGAUAACACAAUUAUUCUUAGGAUUUGCAUAUGAUAUUUGACUAAACACAUAUUUUUUCUUUAAUAAUGCUUUUACAUGUUUUUAAUUGGGUUUUUUUUUCCUCUAAUUAAGUUCACUAUAUUAUUCAAUCAUCUUCUACUUCUACAAAUUCUACUAAAAAGGUCGUACCCAGUGCACAAGGCUCCCGCUUUACGCAGGGUCUGGGAGAGGUGAAUGUCGGCUAGCCUUACCCCCAUUUGUGGAGAGGCUGCUCCCAAGUCUCGAAUCCGAGACUUACCGCUCAUGGGCAAAGGCACUUGCCAUCGCACCAAGUGCCAUCUUCUUCUGUGCAAAUUUGUUUUUCCUAAUGAAUCCCCAUGUUUUGAAAAUUGAAUAAUAUUCUCUUGGACACACAUAGAAUUCUUUCUAUGGACAAACUGGAGACAUGAAUACCACAACCAUAGACACAUGUAAUUAUUCCAAACCACCAUACAAAAAUAUUAUAACAUUAUAAUGUACUACUGAUAUUCGAAAGCAUAAUGCAUUCAAAGUAAUAAUCAAUACACACUAUAUAAGUGGAAGCAUUUAUACCUCAAUUCAAUUUCAAGCUUAAUUUUCUUGCUGGAAAAUUUUGACUUGCAACACCAAAUUACAUUGAUCAACAAAAAGCAAUGAAUUUAACAAAGCAAAUACAAAAGAUCGUACCCAGUGCACAAGGCUCCCGCUUUACGCAGGGUCUGGGAGAGGUGAAUUGUCGGCUAGCCUUACCCCCAUUUAUGGAGAGGCUACUCCCAAGUCUCGAACCUGAGACCUACCGCUCAUGGGCGAAGGCACUUGCCAUCGCACCAAGUGCGACCUCUUUAACAAAGCAAAUACAAUGCAAAAAAAACAAAAAAGCAUUCAAUUUAGCUCUGUUUAUAUUAGACAAAGAUCUGUUCAAAUCAUAAACACUGGAAUAAAAAAUUGAAGAACCAACCUUUUUCAAAAACCACUGGCUCAACUUCUAGCUUUUAAUUAAUCUACUGAAGACGAAAUUAAUCUAAAAUUAAAACAAAAAUCAGUACUUAAAUCAACCAAAAAUGUGGAACAAAUACAAAAUGACACAAAGACACACAUCCUCAAUUUCUUUCUACAGGUAAGAAAACAAAAGAUCUCUAAAACAACCAAAACCUCAUUCUACAUCAACUAACCAAUAGCUUGAACUAUCACCAAAAAAAAAAAAAAGGAAAAAAAAAGUAAGAAGAAGAAGAUUCCAAAACCUUUGCAUCACUAAUUCAAAAACUUGUGAUUCAUCUGCCGUUUACGCACACCCCAAAUCCCCAUGUCCAACAAAUCUGCAGCAAUCUACGGGUCAGUCAAAUAUCUAGCUUCAUGGGCUUGCUUGAACUCUUGUUUGUAAUUCAUUGACGAUGUAUGAAAUGUGAGUGUUUAACAUUAUCUAUUUAUGAAAUGUUAGGGUUUAGCAUUACCUAAAACUAUUUAUCAAAUGAGAGAGAGAGAGAGAGAGAGAGAGAGAGAUAGAGUUGAGUAUUAUUAACACACUUGGACUACAUGUAACAUGAUUAUGGUCCAAAGGUUUACAUGCUGUACAUAGGACCCUUAAGAUUCAACGAAAUUUGGCCUAUAAAAUGGGCUUGAGUGUAUUAAACCGCAUCACAUGUAAUAGGGUUCAGCAUUACUUAUAACUAUUUAUGAAAUGUGCGUGCAAGCGUGUGUGUGUGUGUGUGUGAGAGAGAGAGAGAGAGAGAGAGAGAGAGAGAGAGAGAGACGUGGGCUGGCGUUUAUUAACCUGUAACUCAUGUAGUAGUGAUAGUUCGGUUUUGUGGGUCUAUUGACAGGGGGUGUUGCAAAGGAUUUGCCUAUGAUAUGAAGUAGAGGGGACACCUUGUUUGAGGGUAGGACUGAAGCUAUUGAUGAAUAUAGAAUGGUGCCGGUAGGAUAAGAUUGAGAAGCUCUGUCAGAAUCGGAAGGCGCUCGUCUAGAGUAUACAGUCAUGGAGAAUUUUAGGAUAAAUAAAAUCGAAAGAGAAUGCGAAAAUCACUCCCUGUCAUCUAUAGGGCAUGCUUAGAAGUUAGAAGCAUCACAAUUUUCACCGUAACCCUAAAAACAUGUGCAGAUUGAAAACAGUGCCAAUUAUUAAACUGCAAAUUCGAAAUUACAGAUAAUCGUCUUCCUCCUCGCAAACAAUAAAACCAAAACAAACAUGCAAAAAAGCACAUCAAGAUAAGAGGGAGGAGUCCGGAUCUCACCUCCAAGCUUUGUCGGUCGGAUCCAGAUCCUCGUCCGGUGAGGGACUUGGUCUGAACACCAAAACAAUCAGAUCCAAUUAGCAAAAAUAAUAAAAAAACAGACACAGAUAAAAAAAAUUCAGAUUACAAUUACAGAUCAUGCUUUAAAAAACCAAUAAAUUCAUGAAAAUUUUGAAAAAUUGAGAACGCUCUCUUCAUUCAUUAGAAUCCCUGUUCGAAACCCCUCAUACCUUAAAAUUUAAAGUUGGAAACUCAAAGAGGAAGGCAAGUUAUGCGUACAUUCAAUAUUUGUUGGCAAAUAAACAGGAAUUAAACAACAAAUUUCAAAUUGAGGACAAAAAUCUUACCAGGCAAAGGAGCCAUCUAGCUCGUCGAUGUCGGAGUCGUAGAAGACGCACCAGAGGCAGUUGGGGAAAGUUCGAGAGAGGAGAGGAAAGAGAGAGAAGGGAGAAAGAAAAGGUGAGGGAGGGUUUGGUUAUGGUUGGCUUGUGGUUUGAGAGCUUUAAGAUUGCAGAGAGAAAGCGAGGAGUGAGAGUGUAGAGAGGGGGACGGAAGUCUCUGGAACCCUUCAAUUGCAGGCACAAAUGAAGUAAAAUACCAAAGAACUAAAAUAGGAGUAAAAAUGAAAUAAAAGAAACUAAGUGGGGUAAAAACGGAACAACACUGUGUUUAUGAACAGUAUUUCAGUUGUUUUUUGCAAAAUUGCCCGUGCGAUGCUGCGGGUUUUUAAACAACAUACAACAUGUAGAAAGUUAUAUUUACAACUCUGCCUAACUUCAAGAAUAGAUAAAAGUUUGUUUCUUAUCGAAAUAUGCGAAUUUGAAUGAAAUGUAUCAAAGAAGUAUAGAGUGCGAUAACAAACACACAACUAAUGGUUAAUCAGAUCAGCCACAAAUAAUUCGAAUCGAAUUAAAAACAGGUAGAAAUUAAGAACUCUGACAAAGAAGAACAAAGCAAGAAACCGAUGAAUUGGCAUAGCGACAGAGAACAAUAUCUCAAACGAAGAAAAAUAGAGGGCGAAAGACCAAUGAAGUGGAGGUAUCCCAGAGAAGAAAGCAAAAAAGCAAUUCAAUGGUUGAUAACAACCCAUUUAAAUUGAACCCAAAAAGCUUCUACCAUUUAAAAAUCAAGAGAACACAAUCUAUACAGUCAGAAGAAAACGGUCCCAAAUGUGAGAUUAGAAGAACUCACCGCAAAACUACCCACUCUGAGACUAAGCGAGGCGAAGAGAGCAGAGAGGAAGAGAGAGCAAACGGCUGGAAAAGAAGGGAACCAAAUGCAGUGGGGAAAAAAUUCGACUAAAAGCAGUGAAAAGGAACUGAAAAACGAAGAGAAAGCGACGAUGACAGUAGCAUGGAAGUAAAGGGCACAACCGUCCUUUGAAUGUGGAAACUAGGAAAAAAAAACGAACAGAAGGAAAAAAUUUAAGGGCAUUUUGGUCCGCACAUUACCCUAAAACAGUACCACCCGAGUUUGGGUUUUAGUAUAUAUAAAUAUAAUAUAAUUUGAACAAUUUCUUUUUCUUGACCAAAUCUCGCACUUGGUGCUAUUUCAAGAAAUACACAACAAAAUUGUAGAUAAAAAACACUCUAGCAGAAACACACGUGUACUGUAGCAGAAACAUUGUUCACAAGUUUGGUACACCACAAAUCACACAAAUGUAGCAUAAACAAUACUGUUCAACAAAUUAGGGUACGACACGUCACGUCACACAGGUCAUCAAGAAUGAAAUGCUCUGAUUUUAAGUUAAAUUGAAUACGGAUAAAUUUUUUAUUCAUUGUAUUACUCUUCUCCAAAGUGGAGUAUAUAUAAGGUUUACAUGAGUGUUUUGCAAGUAAUUACUGGGAACCUAAUUACAGUAAGACUAAAACAGGCUAAUAUAUAUUAGCACAACAAAUAAAUUAAUCCUAAAUAAUAACAACUCGCAAUAGUAGUUUGCUCGAUUACUUGUUGAAUUGGAACGGUCUGCAGUCGCUUGCAACAUAUUGUCCGAUACAUUGCUGCAGAUAUAUGGUAAAUCAUGUAAUCUUCAAUCGUUAGAUCAAUGAGGAAACAAGCACAAUUUGAAGUCUUUAAAAUGUAGUCAAGGACCAGGUGAACUCACAGAUACGUGCCAGACUGAACGAGAUUACUGACCUCUACCGGUACGGUGCCAGUAAGCAGGUUACUGUUUAAUUC